GAUGAACGCUGGCGGCGUGCCUAAUACAUGCAAGUCGAGCGAACAGACGAGGAGCUUGCUCCUCUGACGUUAGCGGCGGACGGGUGAGUAACACGUGGAUAACCUACCUAUAAGACUGGGAUAACUUCGGGAAACCGGAGCUAAUACCGGAUAACAUGUUGAACCGCAUGGUUUAACAGUGAAAGACGGUCUUGCUGUCACUUAUAGAUGGAUCCGCGUCGCAUUAGCUAGUUGGUAAGGUAACGGCUUACCAAGGCAACGAUGCGUAGCCGACCUGAGAGGGUGAUCGGCCACACUGGAACUGAGACACGGUCCAGACUCCUACGGGAGGCAGCAGUAGGGAAUCUUCCGCAAUGGGCGAAAGCCUGACGGAGCAACGCCGCGUGAGUGAAGAAGGUCUUCGGAUCGUAAAACUCUGUUAUUAGGGAAGAACAAAUGUGUAAGUAACUAUGCACGUCUUGACGGUACCUAAUCAGAAAGCCACGGCUAACUACGUG
rnacentral:rRNA from 1 species